AUAAAUGGCAAAUCAAUGGAAACGUUGUGACGCAAAGUCCGGGAGUCUAAGGUGUAAACAUAAGAGGAAACAUUAUGAUAGUCCAACUGC
rnacentral:ncRNA from 1 species